CUGCCGUUAGCUCAGUUGGUAAAGCAACAGACUGUAGUUAUUACCAAAUGAGUAUUCCUUAGGCCACCGGUUCGACCCUGGUACAGUAGA